GGGCGAAUAGCUCAGUUGGGAGAGCACUCGGCUUACAUCCGAGAGGUCACAGGUUCGAGCCCUGUUUCGCCCACCA
rnacentral:tRNA from 1 species